CACGGUUGAAUUACGUCUGGCAUAAACAUCAGCAAGAGGCCUGGUCCUUAGCACUUCAUUUUCUGAGUCAGAGUCACUAUCCUGUUUAGGUUCAUCCUCAUUGAUGAAGUUUUCAUUUUCUUGAGUUACCAACCUUGGAAUUUGAUGUUUAUCCAAGGUAUUUGCUUCCCAAUUCCAUGAAGAAUCUUCAUCCACUUUAAUAUCCCUGCUAGACAUCAUCUUCUUGGUUUGAGGAUUAUAGACUCUAUACCCUUUGAUAUUGUUACAAUAACCAACUAAAACUCCAAGCUCUGCCUUUGGACUCAAUUUAUCCCUUUUUACAUCUGGUAUAUGAGUGUAACAUGUACUCCCAAACACCUUUAAAUGUGAGACAUUUGGCUUAAUUUCAUACCAAGCUUCAUAAGGUGUUUGCUUGUUCGAAGCUUUUCUUGGUAAUCUGUUGAGAAAAUACACAGCUGUAUUUACCGCUUCAGCCCAGAAUUCAUGUGGAACUUUCUUCUCAAGCAUCAAACAUCUUGCCAUUUCCAUCACCAUCCUAUUCUUCCUUUCACAAACACCAUUUUGUUGUGGUGAAUACGGUAUUGUCAACUGGUGUUUGAUCCCCAUAGCAUCACAAAAUUUAUCAAACUGAUCACAUUUAUACUCAGUUCCAUUGUUAGUUCCGAUGGCUUUUAUCUUGCAAUUACUCUCAUUUUUCACCAGAUUUUUGAACCUUUGAAAUACACCAGCAACAUAUUUCAUUUUCAGAAAAAAC
rnacentral:lncRNA from 1 species